rnacentral:sRNA from 1 species
CAACUUUGCUUCUUUUAAUAUAGGCAGGGAAGUCAAAAGAUUGGAUAUCCCUGCUUUAUACCAAGAAAGACAACACCCCACAUUUGCAAUGCCUAAAAACACUACCAGCCAUCUGAAAAACAUGUGGACUUCUCUAACUUCUUGUUCUUUUUUGUAGCAGUGGAAUCCCACGGUGAUAUCUGAGGGAUGUGGUUACCUUUUGGAGGAGGGUUGACGGUUUCUAAGGAUGAUUCUUUCUGAGUGAAAUAUUGUCAGUGUCAUUGACCUUUUUCAUUAUUUCAACUAUUAUUAUUCCAGGUUAUCAAUACUCUGGCUGACCUUCGUCAUCGUGGGACUGACUUUGGUGGAAGUCUUUGGUUACUUAUCAUUACUGUGUUUCGAGAAGUUAUAAAUUUGCCAUCUCCCUCGCACAAGUUACCUUUCUGUGUCUUUCCUGAAGACUAUCUUCCUCUCAAAAUGGACAUGAUGGAUCCACGGAUGUACAGCAGAGAGCCAGGAGGUCCAACCGCCGUAGACAGGAAGGAAUUAAAAUUGUCCUGGAAGCCAUCUUUACUUUAUG